rnacentral:rRNA from 1 species
UUAUAAAAAUUUAAAAUUAAUUACUUAAAAAUUAAUAGUUAAGUUCUUUAAAUUUAAAAAAUUUGGCGGUAUUUUAGUCUUAUUAGAGGAACCUGUGUUUUUAUUGAUAUUCCACGAUUUAUUUUACUUACUUUGAAAAUUCAUAUAUCGCUGUCAUGAAUAUGUUAAAAAGUUUAUUUUCUUUAAUUAUUUUAAUAAUUUAUGUUAAGUCAAGAUGUGGUUUAUGGGUAAGCUAAUAAUGGGUUACAUUUAAUUUUAUUUUUGGAUUUGAAAUGAAAAUAUUGAUGAAAUUGGAUUUAAUAGUAAUUUUAAUUAUUUAAUUGAUAUGAAUAUAGAUCUAAAAUAUGUACAUAUUGCCCGUCAUUCUUAUUAAAAAUAAGACAAGUCGUAACAAAGUAAAUGUACUGGAAAGUGUAUUUAGAAAGA